rnacentral:rRNA from 1 species
UGAGGAAUAUUGGGCAAUGCCCGCAAGGGUGACCCAGCAACGCCGCGUGGAGGAUGAAUGUCGUAAGAUUGUAAACUCCUGUUAGAGGGGAAGAAUAGUACCGGUUGGACCGGUAUAUGACUGUACCCUCAGAGAAAGCCCCGGCUAACUACGUGCCAGCAGCCGCGGUAAUACGUAGGGGGCAAGCGUUGUCCGGAUUUACUGGGUGUAAAGGGCGCGCAGGCGGGAUAAAAAGUCAGUGGUGAAAUCCUACAGCUUAACUGUAGAACUGCCUUUGAUACUUUUAUUCUUGAGUUCGGGAGAGAGAGACGGAAUUCCAGGUGUAGUGGUGAAAUACGUAGAUAUCUGGAAGAACACCAGUUGCGAAGGCGGUCUCUUGGUCCGACACUGACGCUGAGGCGCGAAAGCGUGGGGAGCAGACA